GGGAUGAGACUGACGCUCAUGUACGAAAGCGUGGGGAGCAAACGGGAUUAGAUACCCUGGUAGUCCACGCCCUAAACGAUGUCUACUAGUUGUCGGAGGGUAACUCCUUCGGUAACGCAGCUAACGCGUGAAGUAGACCGCCUGGGGAGUACGGUCGCAAGAUUAAAACUCAAAGGAAUUGACGGGGACCCGCACAAGCGGUGGAUGAUGUGGAUUAAUUCGAUGCAACGCGAAAAGCCUUACCUACCCUUGACAUGCCACUAACGAAGCAGAGAUGCAUUAGGUGCCCGAAAGGGAAAGUGGACACAGGUGCUGCAUGGCUGUCGUCGGCUCGUGUCGUGAGAUGUUGGGUUAAGUCCCGCAACGAGCGCAACCCUUGCCAAUAGUUGCUACGAAAGGGCACUCUAUUGGGACUGCCGGUGACAAACCGGAGGAAGGUGGGGAUGACGUCAAGUCCUCAUGGCCCUUAUGGGUAGGGCUUCACACGUCAUACAAUGGCUGGUACAGAGGGCUGCCAACCCGCGAGGGGGAGCCAAUCCCAGAAAACCAGUCGUAGUCCGGAUUGCAGUCUGCAACUCGACUGCAUGAAGUCGGAAUCGCUAGUAAUCGCGGAUCAGCAUGUCGCGGUGAAUACGUUCCCGGGUCUUGUACACACCGCCCGUCACACCAUGGGAGUGGAAUCUGGCAGAAGUAGGUAGCCUAACCGCAAGGGGGGCGCUUACCACGCUGGGUUUCAUGACUGGGGUGAAGUCGUAACAAGGUAGCCGUA
rnacentral:rRNA from 1 species